GCUAUAAAAGAACACACUGAAAUUGUUUCAAUCAUUGGAUAACAGCAGAGGUGACUAUUGCAGAGGAAAUUGGAAAGCAGAUCCUUUUUUUUAUAAACACUAGCCAUAAAGUUCCUUAACCAUGAAUACAUGCAGGCUUUUAAUUUUGGCAGCAAUCUGUGUUAUAUUCCUGGUGUUAUUUGUUCAAGGAAAGAAUGAAAACGAAGUCAGUGAGUCAGAUGUGGAAUUGCAAGGCCAUAAUCUCCGAGAAAAGAGGAGCUAUAGGUUUUACU